AGAACAGAGGACACGUUGUGUACGAAUGUGCAAUUAGAAGAAAAUUUGAAUAUGAAAGCUCAGAAUAUGUUUUUCAGCCAUUUUGACAGCCCUACAACUUACCCUUUAUUUGCAUCUGGAGGUGAGCUGAACGCCCAAUGUGCAAAGACUCCUAAAGAACCGGACAGCAGAUCUCCCUGUCCUCCGCAAGGCCGCCCAAUGCUCUUCUGGUUACAGGUAAGAUGGCCCAAGGCGAUGCUCAGUUUCUGAACACUUCUCUUGUAUUCAGAUAAAAAGCUGAGGAAGAGUGUGUGCAUAAAGAAGAACAAAAGGCUCGUAGGGAGCUGAUCAAACAAUGAACAAUAAGACCCAGGUUUCAUCCUCUAAUGCACCAUGAACUAAUGACAAAUGUCCAAGUGUCCGAUGUAUAAAACAGGUAUAUGCCACUACACUAUAUGCUUGGUUUAGAUGUUGUUGAGCAUCACUAGACAGUUACACCAUGAUUUAAUUAUCACAUUGCUAAUGCAUAUAGGACAACAGCAUGAAAACAGUUGUUGUAGGUACAUUUUAAAAAUUUGCUAGGUUAGUCUGAGAGGUUGCUAAAUAUUGGAAAAAAAUUGCUUACACCAACAGAGAGUCCUUCUGGAGUUACACGUUCCCUUAUAUGGAUAGGAAAGAAAUGUAACUGUUAAUUAUAAAGUGUGAGUAAAAGGGAAACUUAGCUGUCUUGCUGAAUUGUUUCAGUUUCUCAUCCAUAAUAGCAUCAGUGCAGUGUGUAAAAGUGGAAAUUCAUUACAUCUGUUUGAGAGAUGUAAUGAAUUAUUAAUGAAAUAUUAGGCCUCCUAAUAUUCUAUUGGUCCACUAGACUCCCGCUUUCCUAUUGGCUCACCAGCUGUCGUGCUUCUAUUGGCAACUGAGCUGCUUGUACACAAGCAGAGCUGAGGAAGUCAUAAGUGGGUGGAGCUUAAUGUUUGAUUGACAGAGCUAAUGAAUGUGUUUUAUGAUUACAUCAUUG